AUAAAAUGUUGGGCUAAAGAACAAGUAGGGCAUCUGCUUGAAGCCUUCUGAAGUGGUGUUGCUCUGUAUGGGCUGAUGCUUAGAGCCUUCUGAAAUUCAGCCCUGUGUGUAUGGACACACUGAAGACAUUUUGAAGGGAAAAGAAGGCAGUCAGGAAUGAAGUUCAGUUAUUUAUGGUGAGCAGAUGGAUUUAGAAAGUCUGCCUGCUGAGACAGAGGCAUGACUCUGCAAAUCAGGUUAUACUGAUACUUACCUCCAUUUUCUGAGGCUCCGUAUAUAUGAUUUAUUCAUGUUAAGCUUUCUGGACCUCAGUAAGAAUUUUUCCCAGCCCUUGGCUGUGCUCUCCCACCCUGUUGGCAAUACACAGCUGUGAUCAAUACUCCGUGUUUGUGUUUGCUGGGGCACUUUAACUGCGGGGUCAAGCACUUGUGUGUGGAGCUGGUCCAUGGACAAUGAGUUUCCAUUGCUGCAACAGCCAUAAACUGGAAAGAUACUAACUUGCCGUCAGUUGUACACCCUACUGCACAUGCUGCCUAUGCCAGUGACACCUGGGAGCAUGCUGAUAGCAUUUCUGUUCCUUCCAAACAGCACCUUGCCAUGCAUUUGCCCAUUACUUAGGAGAGCUGACCUCCCAUGCCUUGGGCAGCAAGUAUUUUGCUCAGUUUGCUGAGUGUAGGUCAGUUGCUCAGCUGUAGUUGUUUUUUGUUUUGGUCUGGUCCCAGGAAACAGAUUUUUCUGUCCUUCCCCUUGAUGCAGAUGGAGAAAGACAAGGCAGCAACACCUUCCAAUAAUUCCUUUUCAAAACACAUGUAUUUUUACAAGAAGUCCCUUUUAUCCCAGCAUAAAAGAUUAGUCCUAUUUGUAUUCAGUGACAAAAAGUCCAAAUAAAACAGGAUAGCAAAACAGAUGAGACAGGAACUUUUUCUAUCUGCCAGUCCAAAUGUUUGCUCUUUCAGGUAUGUCCUCCAUAGAACCUCUUAAAUGAACACAUUCAGCUGCAUUUUGAUUCUAGGCAAGUAUUUUAUUCCCCCAUCUACAUAUGGAAAGCUGUUUCCAAAAAUCAACCUUCUAUUUAUCAGAAAAAUUUGUGCCUAGCACAUAUCAGUUUGUCUUGCUGCUGAACCUCACCUUGACCUCUUCUGUGAUGUUUACAUUUCUGUGAGCAGCUGGUUGCUUUCUGACCCUCUGUUUUUCAGGGUGCUAUGCACAUUCCCUGGAGCAAUAUGCUUCCUUUGUAGUUAGAGAAUUUAAAUAAAUCAUCUAAUUUACAAGCCAAGUCAGAACUUAGGUAGGCUGAAUGACUGGAGGUGACCAUCUCUUUCCAUUGACUACAGGAGACCCUGGUGACUGUGCUCCAAUUUUGUGUCUUUUGUGAAGUGCCUGAAGUUGGGCAGCAUGAAUCUGGGCUUUGGUGCUGUUGUUGUCUCCUGACUGGUCCUGAAGUCUUUCUGCACUGGUUCCCAUGGCACUUCUUCUUUUUUGAACAUGGAUGACCAGUAUUCCAAAUGAAUUCUCCUAAGUGUCAUUGAUAGCUUUCAAAUCUCUGUCAAUUGGAAGUACCCUGUCUGAAAUAGUUUGCCAUUAUGUUUAUUUCAAACAGGUCUGAAAUUUGUAUUCUAUUUCCUUCCUCCCUCCCCAUGAUGUAGAGUUCAUUAUCACCCUAGCUGACACCUGAAAUGCUUUUAAAUCCUGAAAUCUGUGAUGUUUCACCAUGGGUUAUUAAUUCUUACUUUAUUUCUGUCAUCCUGGAUUUCAUAGUCAAAUCUUCCUAGGCAGUAUUUAAAAGCUCCUUUAGAAAGGUACCACCUUCCAAUUUACAUGGCAAUUUUAAGUUCCAUUAACAACCCCUUGUUUCUGGUGUCCUGGUAAUUAGUGGCAGCAUUAGGGUGCUUCCCCUGAAGAGCAAGAAAUUCCUGUCAGAAGUCCACAUUUUUGCAUAGUUGCAUAGUCACCCACUUGUUGCUUAUACAUUUGCCAUGCUGCUCAAAUAGUGAGUAUUGAAAGGUGUUGUUUCUUAAUCAUAUUUCUGUUCUUGAAAUGGAGGGAAAUGUAACAAUAAGGCUGUUACCAUCUACCAUGUAACUGCAGUUCUUUUUCCAUUCCAUCAUUGGCAACUGCUGCUUGUUUGAAAGAUUAUUUAAUUGCUGCAUAUAUGAAAGGUGAUUUCUCACUGCAAGUCACACUAAAGCUGUGGGGACCUGCUGAAGCUUAUGUUCCACACUCUGAAUGAUAUGCAGACUUGAUGCUUCUCUUUGCACUGAAAAUUGAAUAUAUGAAGAGUGGUUCAUUGUUGGAGUCCGCUGCUGGAUUACAGAGUGCUGAUUAAGCAAGAUAGGGAGAGACUUGUCAAGGGUCAUUUCCAAGGAAGGGAGAGCUGGUCUUUUUCUGUGGUAUCAAAAGAGAUGGUAGCUACAUGGCUUUUGUUCUACCAAAGUCAAAGCAUGGAAGUACCAGGCUGUAUGCCUUAUGGUUACCUCAAGUUCAAAAUCCUGGCACCUCCCAUAUACUUCUGCAUUCCUGUCUUUCUCUUCCCCACAGGAUGACUGUGUAACUCCCUUCUCAUCUCUCUAUUCACUGUAUCCAAGCUCUCCCUCCCUCCAGGCCUUGUAUCCCUCAUGCAUCUGGGUGCACUUUUCCUUCCUCAAGUGAUUCAGUGUCCCUUGUAUCCUCUUCCCUCAGGAUGGCCACCAUGAGUCUCCUUUCUUUCAUCCUGCUUCCCUUCUCUUUCACAGAAUUAUUUGAAUAUUUGGAACUUAAACUGGGAAGAUUGAUAUAUUCUCAAUGAUUUCAUCAAUUUAUUUUCUCAGAGGUGGGCUAUUCCAGCUACUGUUGGAAGUGCUAAAAUGCAAACUAGAGGCUCCAACUGCUGCUUUCUGGUUGACUGGUCUCAGAACCAGGCAAUUCCUGCCCAAGGAUGUCUGUGAUAUUCUUUCAAUACUCUGUAAAUUAUUGAAUGCCAAGUUGUACAAUGACCCUAUUACAGGCAAACAUAAAUAAGCAGGCAUGACUAUGAAGGAUUUUUGAGGGCCCUGGCUUCAUCUCCCAAAGGUGAGGACUCAAAAGCUGCAUUGCCAUUUCAAACACUGAUGUAUAAAAUUAAAAGAACCAAAUUGCCAAUGCUAAGUAGUCACCAUUUGCUCAAAGAGGAGCUAUACAGAAGAGCUUUUACACCAAGAGGAGGAAAGUAUGUAUCCAGCAGGAGUUGGAGAGCUCUUUGCAAAAAAGAAUACUCUCAGAUGCAAAUAGAGAAAAGAGCAGAAAUAGGAUGCAACCCAUAUGAAAAACUACUGUGCAGUCUAUGGAGUGCAGGGGAUGUACAGUGCAAGAAUGUUUAGAUUUCCCAGUUACCGUCAAUGCUGGCCAAAAAUAAUGACUCAUUCAAAUGUGCUUAAGAGCUGCAUUUUAAAAUUAAGAAUCUGGACAGACAGGUACUGACAUGGAAAUGUACACAACAGUUUGUUUAAACAGUGUCUUUCACAACCAGCUACGCAGUGCCACGUGACAAGCCACAAUGCUUUUGCCACGUCAGUUGCCUAUGCCACAUGUCCCAGCUUUGUCACCUUGGUGUGGGUCCAUGCUCAGCAUGCCCACUGCACUGAUGUGCCUAUCUGCCACACAUAUCUCAUCUACUCUGAAGCAUUUUUCAGACCUGAGGACACAGAAGAACAAACUCUUAGGGCACCUGAUGUCCCCAUUCUUUCAAUG